rnacentral:pre_miRNA from 1 species
AAUAAGUACAGUUUUGCACUGUUCACGUUCAACGUUUGACCGUUCAUCUUAUUUGAAUUUUUUUAUGGUUAGUAUUUUUAUUGCUCUUAGAUGAUAAAACAUGAAUAGUACUUUAUGUGUUACUAAAUAUUUUCAAAUUUUUCACAAAAUUUUCAAAUAAGACGGACAGUCAAACGUUGGACACGGAUAUUCACGGCUGCACUUAUU